UUUGGUCCUGACCUUGAAGUCAAUUAUUACUUAAUAUACACAUGCAAGUAUCCGCUCCCCUGUGAAAACGCCCUUCAACCCCCAUUAGGGACAAGGAGCCGGUAUCAGGCACAAUGUAUGCCCAAGACACCUAGCUUUGCCACACCCACAAGGGAUUUCAGCAGUGAUUAACAUUGAAUAUUAGCGCAAGCUUGAUUCAGUUAAAGUAAAACAGAGCCGGCCAAUCUGGUGCCAGCCGCCGCGGUUACACCAUGUGGCUCAAAUUGACCCCAUUCCGGCGUAAAGCGUGAUUAAAGUUAUCUUCUUAUAGAGUUAAAUUAAAACUAAGCUGUGACACGCUUGUUCUUAAGAAAUUCCCAAACGAAAGUUACUCUAAUUUAACCAACUUGAAUUCACGACAGCUGGGAAACAAACUGGGAUUAGAUACCCCACUAUGCCCAGCCGUAAACUUUUAUUUACACCUCAAU
rnacentral:rRNA from 1 species